ensembl:snoRNA U3 Small nucleolar RNA U3
AAGAUCAUACUUUCAGGGAUCAUUUCUAUAGUCUUUGACUUGAGAAAUAUCGUGCGAAAGUGAUCGGUUACUCUAACCACGAUGAAGAGAACUGAUGUUCCCUUCUGAGUGCGAAGUGGCAGAGUGAUGAUGCAUUUCAUCCGCUCCUUGCCAUUGAUGACCGUUCCAUGCUCUCUAGUGGAGCCUGGAGGUAGGGAUCAUGAUCAGAGUGGU